CAGCAGCCGCGGGAAUACGAAGGGGGCUAGCGUUGUUCGGAUUUACUGGGCGUAAAGCGCACGUAGGCGGAUCCUUAAGUCAGAGGUGAAAUCCCAAGGCUCAACCUUGGAACUGCCUUUGAUACUGGGGAUCUCGAGUUCGGGAGAGGUGAGUGGAACUGCGAGUGUAGAGGUGAAAUUCGUAGAUAUUCGCAAGAACACCAGUGGCGAAGGCGGCUCACUGGCCCGAUACUGACGCUGAGGUGCGAAAGCGUGGGGAGCAAACAGGAUUAGAUACCCCUGUAGUCCCUGUCUCUUAUAA
rnacentral:rRNA from 1 species